UGAGGAAUUUUGCGCAAUGGGCGCAAGCCUGACCCAGCAACGCCGCGUGAGGGAAGAAGGCUUUCGGGUUGUAAACCUCUGUCCUUGGUGACGAAAAAAAUGACGGUAGCCAAGGAGGAAGCCCCGGCUAACUACGUGCCAGCAGCCGCGGUAAUACGUAGGGGGCGAGCGUUGUCCGGAAUUACUGGGCGUAAAGGGUGCGUAGGUGGCCUUUUAAGUUGGAUGUGAAAUACCCGGGCUUAACCUGGGGGGUGCAUCUAAUACUGGGAGGCUAGAGUGCAGGAGAGGAAAGCGGAAUUCCUAGUGUAGCGGUGAAAUGCGUAGAUAUUAGGAGGAACACCAGUGGCGAAGGCGGCUUUCUGGACUGUAACUGACACUGAGGCACGAAAGCGUGGGGAGCAAACA
rnacentral:rRNA from 1 species